rfam:Ailuropoda melanoleuca scaffold586_17, whole genome shotgun sequence.
GCCUGGCUGGCUCUGUCGGAAAAGCAUGCGACUCUAGAUCUCAAGGUCGUGAGUUCAACCCCCACAUUGGGCA